rnacentral:rRNA from 1 species
UACGGGGGAGCAAGCGUUGUUCGGAUUCAUUGGGCGUAAAGGGCGCGUAGGCGGCUUCGCAAGUCCGUCAUGAAAUGUACCGGUUCAAACCGGGGCGACUGUGUCGGAAACUGCUUAGCUUGAGGUCGAGGGAGGAGAGUGGAAUUCCUGGUGUAGCGGUGAAAUGCGUAGAUAUCAGGAGGAACACCCGUGGCGAAGGCGGCUCUCUAUCUCGAUUCUGACGCUGAGGCGCGAAAGCUAGGGGAGCAAACGGG